rnacentral:rRNA from 1 species
UUGAACGCUGGCGGAAUGCUUUACACAUGCAAGUCGAGCGGCAGCGCGGGGGCAACCCUGGCGGCGAGCGGCGAACGGGUGAGUAAUACAUCGGAACGUACCCAGUUGUGGGGGAUAGCCCGGCGAAAGCCGGAUUAAUACCGCAUACGCCCUGAGGGGGAAAGCGGGGGACCUUCGGGCCUCGCGCGAUUGGAGCGGCUGAUGUCGGAUUAGCUAGUUGGUGGGGUAAAGGCCUACCAAGGCGACGAUCCGUAGCUGGUCUGAGAGGAUGAUCAGCCACACUGGGACUGAGACACGGCCCAGACUCCUACGGGAGGCAGCAGUGGGGAAUUUUGGACAAUGGGGGCAACCCUGAUCCAGCCAUGCCGCGUGAGUGAAGAAGGCCUUCGGGUUGUAAAGCUCUUUCAGACGGAAAGAAAUCGGGUGCGUGAAUAGCGCGCCUGGAUGACGGUACUGUCAGAAGAAGCACCGGCUAACUACGU